rnacentral:rRNA from 1 species
GAUCUCUGGGCCGAUACUGACGCUGAGGAGCGAAAGCGUGGGGAGCGAACAGGAUUAGAUACCCUGGUAGUCCACGCCGUAAACGGUGGGCACUAAGUGUGGGCAACAUUCCACGUUGUCCGUGCCGCAGCUAACGCAUUAAGUGCCCCGCCUGGGGAGUACGGCCGCAAGGCUAAAACUCAAAGGAAUUGACGGGGGCCC